AAUCUUGCUCAAUGGGCGAAAGCCUGACGCAGCCAUGCAGCGUGAAUGAUGAAAGACUGAGGACUGUAAAAUUCUUUCACCGGGGACGAUAAUGACGGUACCCGGAGAAGAAGCCCCGGCUAACUUCGUGCCAUCAGCCGCGGUAAUACGAAGGGGGCUAGCGUUGCUCGGAAUUACUGGGCGUAAAGGGCGCGUAGGCAGAUCGUUAAGUCAGAGGUUAAAUCCCAGGGCUCAACCCUGGAACUGCCUUUGAUACUGGCGAUCUUGAGUAUGAGAGAGGUAUGUGGAACUCCGAGUGUAGAGGUGAAAUUCGUAGAUAUUCGGAAGAACACCAGUGGCGAAGGCGACAUACUGGCUCAUUACUGACGCUGAGGCGCGAAAGCGUGGGGAGCAAACA
rnacentral:rRNA from 1 species